GUAAUAACUUUUUUCUCAAAGAAUCGCGUCUCCUAGAAGUCGCGACUCGAUGAUGGUAAAACAUUCAAAGACUUUCUACACGAAGAGGUAUAUGAAGACGCGGGUCGCCCCGCGCCCAUACGGCGAAAGGUCCGGAAGAGAGCGUGCACAUGCCCCUAGAGGCCAGCUACAACUCUCCGCCUUUCCCCUCGCCGGAUUAUAAUUUCAUUAAUGAUCCUUCCGCAGGUUCACCUACGGAAA
rnacentral:misc_RNA from 1 species